rnacentral:lncRNA from 1 species
AUGCCUGUCAUUUGUGUAAUUUGUGUAAAAAUACAAAGCUGUAACUCUUGUGGUCAUGGAUGGAAGAAAAAAACCUUUAAUUAUAUGUAUUUCUCACAUUCUACAGAAAAAGUAAUCGGAAGAUCCCCACACAUAAAGGUUAGGAGAGCAUUAUUAAACACAAAACGCUGCCUUCAGUCCUCUGGUUGCUGGUGGAACUCAUCCUCUAGAGAAUUUUUUCCUGUAGAAAAGGUUGCGUUAGUGACACCCUGGAAUACUGCUUGGAAAGACAACAAGAGAGAAGAAGCUGCAUCCAUUGACUUGUUUUCACUGGAUGAUUUGGAUUUGGAAGCAGAGCUGGCUUUGCAUUGCUGUGUGAAGCAGAGCACCCACCUUGCUGUAGCGGUGCCCAGCAUGCUGCUCGUUCACCCCUGCGCUGACUGCAGCACCUCUGCUCUGUCAGAGUGCCCUUUGCUUCUGAGCAGCUUUGUCCCAUUCCCAGAUCCUACUUCCCUUGCCACGGAAAGUGAAUUAAAAUGCACCAUUUCUGCAAAGACUUGUGCUGGUAUGGUUAGAGCGAUCGCUUUUACAGACAUCAAGCCUUUCCCCAUCCCGAGUGCAAGCAAGGCUGAAAAUGGAGAGCUAUUAAAAGCCUUGUUCCAAAUUCAGGUGGUGAAUUGGAUGCCGGCUGCAGGAAAGGAAGGGUGUUUAAGAUAUAUAAAAGAAUGGAAGUAAAGGCAGGAGCUGAAGCAAUUUCCAAGAAAAGGCAAGAGG